rnacentral:rRNA from 1 species
GCACCAGUGGGGAAUAUUGGGCAAUGGAGGAAACUCUGACCCAGCGACGCCGCGUGCGGGAUGAAGGCCUUCGGGUUGUAAACCGCUUUCAGUAGGGAAGAAGCGAAAGUGACGGUACCUACAAAAGAAGCACCGGCUAACUAUGUGCCAGCAGCCGCGGUAAUACAUAGGGUGCAAGCGUUGUCCGGAAUUAUUGGGCGUAAAGAGCUCGUAGGUCGUUUGUUACGUCGGAUGUGAAAACCUGAGGCUCAACCUCAGGCCUGCAUUCGAUACGGGCAAACUAGAGUUUGGUAGGGGAGACUGGAAUUCCUGGUGUAGCGGUGGAAUGCGCAGAUAUCAGGAGGAACACCAAUGGCGAAGGCAGGUCUCUGGGCCAAUACUGACACUGAGGAGCGAAAGUCUGGGGAGCGAACAGGA